CUAGGGAAGCCCACACAUAAAAUGGAUAACAGCAAAGUUCUAUUAUACAGCAUAGGGGAACUACAUUCAAUAUCCAAUAUUGAAAAGAAUAUGAAAAAGAAUAUAUAUGCAUAACUGAGUCAGUGUGCUGUACAGCAGAAAUUAAUACAAUACUAUAAAUCAACUAUAUUUGAAAAACAUUAAAAAAAGUAUUUUCUCCAAGGUAAAAAUGAAAACAAUCUAAGGUGGGAAGCAUAGGAACCAGCCUCACUGGCAUAGCUAGGAAUUCUGUGGACAGUUCCUGCCAGUUGGGAAAAUCAUCUCCAGAGAAACUGACCUCUCUAGGCGUGUGAAAAUCAGAACAUCAGCCUUGAGUUAUCUCUUGUCUGAGUGAACACCACCGUUCUCAAUGUGCAACUGAUUUAGAUUCUUCUCUUUUNNNNNNNNCAACAUAAGUCAUGAAACUGCUUUUACAAGUUUAGCGUAAUCUGACUUCAAUAAUCUAGAACCCAGAAAUCACCAGAAUAUUUUGUUUUUACAACGUAAUAUUAUGUUUUUACUUUUCAGAGGAUACAUCACAGAAUGAGGCCAUAUCAACGAUUCCUGUAUCACACGUGCCUUCAGAGGCUUUAUGAGCUCUGCAAUACCUGUAGGAAACCACCAGUGAACAGACAGACUAC
rnacentral:lncRNA from 1 species